CGUGUAGGCGGCCUCUUAAGUCUGGUGUGAAAGUCCUGGGCUUAACCCCGGAAGGGCACUGGAAACUGGGAGGCUAGAGUACCGGAGAGGGGGGUGGAAUUCCUGGUGUAGCGGUGAAAUGCGUAGAUAUCAGGAGGAACACCGGUGGCGAAGGCGGCCCUCUGGACGGAUACUGACGCUGAGACGCGAAAGCGUGGGGAGCAAACAGGAUUAGAUACCCUGGUAGUCCACGCUGUAAACGAUGGGCACUAGGUGUUCGGGGUAUUGACCCCCUGAGUGCCGCAGCUAACGCAUUAAGUGCCCCGCCUGGGGACUACGGCCGCAAGGUUAAA
rnacentral:rRNA from 1 species